AGAAGGGGCCAGCCCGCGCCUUUCGCGCUUCUGCCCUGGCCCUCUGCGGGCCGCUCCGCCGGUGCUGUCCCUGGGCGCCUCCGUGCUCUCAGCCAACCACCUCUGAGAGCGCCCACUCGAGCGCCCCGGGAGCCAGAGGGCGGGGGUCCUCGCCGGGACCCUCCUGUGGGCCCAGGGGAAAUAAUGAAGAUGUUUCAUUUUCAAGACCAGCAGAUCUUGACCUUAUUCAGUCAACUCCCUUUAAACCCCUGGCACUGAAAACACCACCUCGUGUACUUACGCUGAGUGAAAGACCACUAGAUUUUCUGGAUUUAGAAAGACCUCCUACAACCCCUCAAAAUGAAGAAAUCCGAGCAGUUGGCAGACUAAAAAGAGAGCGGUCUAUGAGUGAAAAUGCUGUUCGCCAAAAUGGACAGCUGGUCAGAAAUGAUUCUCUGUGGCACAGAUCAGAUUCUGCCCCAAGAAAUAAAAUUUCAAGGUUCCAGGCACCGAUUUCUGCACCGGAGUACACUGUGACACCAUCGCCACAACAGGCUCGGGUCUGUCCUCCCCAUAUGUUA
rnacentral:lncRNA from 1 species